rnacentral:lncRNA from 1 species
AUGCAACCCGGCAGACACCCUGGGAGCAAGGAGGGUAUUUUGGGGAGUUGCAGUGUUGUGCGGAAGAUCAUGUCUGUGCCCUGUGGUGCUGUCAGCAGUGACAGAUCCCAGAUGCAGCCGCUACUGUAUGGCAGAUUGAGUUUCUCAGCAGAAAACUCUCUCCCUCCCUCCCAAACGUCUUCAAAAACCUUCUCCAGAUACUGCGGGUCACUUCGGCUCAAACAGGGAGAGAAAGGGGGAAAAAAGGCUUUCCCUCUCCCCCACCCUUUCUCUUCCCCGAGCCAGAUCUCUCCGGGGUGUGGGGGGGCCAUGCCUGCUCCCCUCCCCGCCCGGGGUGCCCCCUGCCCCCCUCGUCGCCCCCGGCUCGCUGCGAGCCCGCCGCCGACCAUGGGAAGCCUCGUACAGAAGCGGUUGCGGCUCCCGGGAAGCUCAACCCGCUCUUCCACGCGUGCCCCGGGCCUCCUGCCCCUCCUGCCCGCACCCCUGGCAAGUAUUUACCGCCCCCCCCCAACCCCCCCGCUCCCCCUCCGAGUGCCGAAAUCGGAGGCCGAGGCUGGGCUGUUUCCUCCUGCACCCUUUCCCCCCCCCUCCAGCAAGUAUUUGGUGCUUAAGGGCUCUAAUCUGUCUGGCACCGGGCGGGUCUCACGUCCGCGGAUCAGCCCCGAAAGCCUCCGCACCGGGCGGGCAGAGGCCGGGGGGGGCCUCCGCUAGCGCAGCCUCGGGCCUCGGCCUCCGCUGCAGACCUCCGAGCAGCGCCGGGAUGGAGACGAGCUGGUUUCAUGCACGCACAUGCCUCCCGUAAACGAUUCCUGCCACCCUCGCUCUCGGUCCUUCCUUUCCCGCUGAAGUGAAAGGCUUUAAUUCAGCCGCUCGCCCAGCCCCCUCCCCUCUCUCUCUUUCUCUCUCCUUUUUUUUUUUUUUUUUUUUUUUUUUUUUUAAAGCUCUUGCCUUUAGCAGAAGUAUAAUUGUGACCCUGCCUGAUCCACAGAGCCUCCUGUUGGGAGCAGUUAGCUGUGGUUGCAUUAGGCCAAAGGACCUCCCAAGUGGCGGUGGCCUGGGUGUCAUAGGAAGGGACUCUGCACAUUGUCCAUUCUUUCUCAUCAAAGUCCCAGGCACCGUGGAGCCAACAGUUUGGUGGAGCAGGAAAAUAGUAAACAAGCCUCCCCCCUCCCUUCCCAAGCCAGCAGCACCGUGAUCUUCCUAAGAGGCAAGAAACUGUAACAAACUUUUUCAUAACUUCAGCUCUACGGUGUGAUUUACAUUUCCGGCUCCCCUGUCGGAGUGGCAGUAAUUUACAGCGUGAUAAAAACACUUUUACAACGCCAGAACAUGUUCGAGUAGUGUCUCAGUGUGCAGAAAGGUUUUAAAAGACGACACACAUCAGAAAAAGUUAUUUUCUCUGCCUUUUUUUUUUCCACCGUGGCUUUCUGAAGAGACAAAUGGGUUGAAAUUGCAACGUAGGCAAAAAAAAAAAAAAAAAAAAAAAAGUGAAAAGUAGACGCGGGCUGAAGCAAACGUGGAUGAAAUCAAUCCUGGGCUUUUGUUUAUAUGGUGUAUAUUAUAUGUCCACAUUUCUCCUGUUUCUGCAAGGCUUUCGCUUAAUGCAUGCUUCUAUUUUCGUGCUUUCGGGCCAAAUCCUGCUUGUCUUGCCCCAGGGGAUGCUUUCAUUUGGUCAUGGAUCUAUUGUGUUUAAACAAUUUCUUUUAUUCAAUAACUCAUUUCUUCUCCGGAGUCUUAAACCGAGUAGGUCUGUUAGCGUUUAUGAAAGGGAAGCAUCUUUUAUUCAGUUCUAAUUUCCCUAAUCUGAUAUAGGCAGCUUUUCCAAAUACCGGGGUAAUAGGGUUACCCCUUCUCCAGGAGCAUCCAGUUUGUUCCAGCCACGCUCCUCCGCCAGGGAGGACUCCUGCGGCGGGGCAGGACGGGUCUGGAAACUAAUGGACACCAUCCCUGUCCUGGGAGAGACGAUAAAGUUUAGUAAAUUACAAAUAUGCGAAUUUGGCAAACAGUUAAGGAUUAAAAUGAUCAAACGAUUAAAAAAAAAAAAAAAAAGGCAAUGAAUAAACCACAUGUAGCAGUUGCCGCUUUCA